GUACCAAAGAGAGAAUUCGAAACGAUAAUUGUUUACCUUGCUCCUCCAUGUAUAACGUACAAUUCACCGAUAUAGACCUAGAUAGCCUGAAACUGCUCUGUGGUGAGUGCCUAAAAGAUGCACUUCCCAUGGUCCCUUUUCACUAUGGGUGCUGCAGUUAUGUGGCUUAUAGAGAUGCCGAUGUCAUGGAAUUUAAGGGAAACUUCCCCAUGAUGAGAAAUUUUCUGAAAUGUCAUUGGAAACUGCAUUUAGUCUCUUUUUUGUGUAUACCUCAAGGCAUUCCUAAUGAAGACUUGUAUUUCAUUGCUAUUUCCUAUUUCAGGUUCUGGGAUUUGUUCGUUGAUUUAAUGGUUGACAAGUGAGUUAAAUAAUCAAAUACCAGUGGAAUGGAGGUUGAGGGUUGGGAGAAUUCUUCAGGUGGAACUAGUGAUUCGGAGGUCUAUGCGCAGGACACAAAUGACGAAGAGCAUUACUUAACCUCUGGUGACAUACCAAAGUUGCAGUUUAGGAAAAAUAUUUCGACGGGUAGUUGGGAUGAUGAGGUGAGAAUGACUGAAGUUGUUGAGAAGAAGGGUGGCAUGUGGACAACAACAGGAAUAGUUCGUGGCAACAAGAUGUAUUGCUCAAUUGAAGAGACCCUAUUUUUGGCUGAAAGAGGGGAAUUAAGUGUCUUGGACGCUGAUGAUUCAUCAAUUUCCUUGGAAGAUUUAUAUACGAAGGUUGCAAAAGCAACCAGUGGAUGUUGCUGGGAGUCCUUUGAAGUCUAUAGGCACUUGAGGUCUCUAGGUUACAUUGUUCAGCGACAUGGUAAACCUUGGACCAUGAAGGGUACUAAGAAUGAAUCUACUUCAGCUGUAGGAAUUCCACAGAUCAAGGUGAUAACAGAACAAAACUGUAGAGGCCCAUGUCUCAUCAAUGAGCUGCUCAACAAUAUGAGGAUUGAGGAAGUCAGACCCGCAUUUGAUGUUUUCCUUCCUAACAGCAAAUUCAGAAAAUCAUCACCAGGCAAUCCAAGUUUUGUGCUGUUUGUAACCAGUGGCCAUCCGCCAUCCAAAUCGCAGAUUGAAGACCUUGAAAGGCAGUGCAAUGGCAUUCCUUUGAAAUUUGGCCAUGUUGAGCAUGGUCGUGUCAGUUUCUUCUCCUUUAACAAGGUGGAGCUCCCUGUCCUUCCUUGACAUCACUGUUAUGAGGAGAGAUGGAUUGGCGAAGCAUUUUUGGAGGUCCUAGCUUCUGUAAGUUUGAUGGCUAAGUGGCUAACACUCAUGCUGUUCUAGUUCUUCAACUCUCCUCUUGGCAAGUGCAUCUGGAUAGAUUUUGCCUUCCCUGACAGUCUGAUAGAAGAAGUGCUUUACACUGAUGAUGUUAGCCUCCCCAUACGGAAAGCAGCUCAGAUAGGAGCUGGGAAACCAGAGAAGAUAUAGAAGAAAGAGAACAAGGCUACAACCUACAAACAAACUGAGCUGCUCAAGCUUGGCUCAGAAAAGAAAAAUUACAACAGAAAUUUGAUUGUGCUGGAAGAAUUGUCUCACAGUCUCGCACUAUUCUCAAUGACUCAUCCAACGGCGUAGAUUGCUGGGCUAACAUGGUGGAUUGGGAUUUAUCUAGUAAUGUGAGCAAUGAAUGAAUCCAGCUCCAUUCGAGAAACACCGCCUUUUUCCACUGCCCGCCUGGUGGAAGCACCCGGCUCCUCAGCUCUCUUCCUUAUCUCCUCCCCUUCUUUAGACACAAUCAGCUUCUGGACAGCUUUCGCUAUGGUUGAUGAAGUCACUAUUUCAUCUCUCUGUUCCCGUGUUUUUGCCGGCAGACCAACCUUCAAUAUGUCGGUAACCAGAAAAGCAUUCUUGGGUUGGUCAGAGUGCAUGGCCAAGCAGCUAUGGGCACUCCCAUAGUUAUACUCUCAAAGCAUGAAUUCCAGCCAGUGACUCAUGAAUCCACCUGUAGAUGGGUGCCCCAAAAUCUCUACUUGAGGUGCCCAAUCCCUCACCACCAUUCCUACUUCCUUCACUCUCUCUCCGAACCCUUCUGGCAGUUUCUCUUUUGUCACCUCUCCUGUGAAAAUGUCUCCUUUAUCAGCCUCUCUGAAAACCCAAAUGAACUUUUUCUCACUCUGUUCUAACCCCAUCGCGAGCUCUUUGAUCUUUCAUCUGUCAUUGUAGUUGUCGUUCCAAAUGAAACAUAUAAAACGAAUUUUGGGGCUUGUUUGUCAAGCCACUCCAAACUUUUGUCUUUGGGGGUAUUUGAGUUUCUUCUGUCAUAGUCUGCCCCCAGGUUCAAGGGCCCAAUCGACCAUAUUAGUUUGUUCCUAUUAAACUGGUCGUUCGCUAUUAAAUCAAUGUAUGUACCUUCAACUGAUCUGCACGAGUUAUAGAUAUAUCCGGUAGUAAACUUCAGGAAAUCAAUUUGAAGGGCUAUUAAAUGCAGGAUUUCAGUAGAGAAGCAUCCUUCUAUAGACGGUAGCCCUUUUGGGGGUGGUUUUUCCAGGGAGGGGUUUCCCUUCAUUUGCCACCCGUCGAAGAAAGAAGGGAAGGGAGAAGUUGGGCUAAAAGCGUAGGAUUCCGCAUUUGGAACAUUAGCAAUGUCUUGAACAGCAUAAGCCAUCAAGACAUCGUGGAUGACAAUAACUUUUCUUGCCGUGGCAGAGAUACUUUGGAGGAGUGCUGCCAUGGGCUGACGGAGGUGGAUAGAGGAUUCAAAUGAGGGCUGGAGGUGGGUGGGGAAUUUGGUGGAGGGAUUUGGGGUGGGGGAAGGUUAGACGAAAUCAGGGGUCGGGAAUUCAUGGAAAUGGACUUGGGAGUUUUGGAGGUGGGUUUUGUUAUUGAACCGGUGUUUGGCCUGGCGGAGGUGGGUGGAAGCAGUGGCAUAGUGGACAGGUAUGUUGUAGGAGGAGGAGAUGAGGCAGGAGAGGUGGAGGAGCUGGUUGAGUUGGCUUUGGCAUGGAAAUGGCACAAUUAUUACCACCACUUCAGCUUGUUUGGAAAUACUACUGUGGUCAUGGCUUGCAUCUUUGUCAUGAAUAUCCAUGAACUCUCUCUCUCUCUCUCUCUCUCUCCUGCUGCUGCUGCUAUUGUAGUAUGAUUUCCGUGUUCUCAGAGCAACGACGUGUACGUUUUUUAUAAGGAUAGGAAGAACGACUAUCUUCAAACGAAUGUGUGAUUUAUGAAAAUGACGUCUAUGUAUUGUGUGAUGGACCACCCCUUUC